UGCUUUAUGAGAUGUCUUCGUCACCUCAA
rnacentral:piRNA from 1 species